AGCUGAUCCAGCAUGCCGCGUGAGUGAUGAAGGCCUUCGGGUUGUAAAGCUCUUUUGCUCAGGGAAGAUAAUGACGGUACCAGGAGAAUAAGCUCCGGCUAAUUCCUUGCCAACAGCCGCGGUAAUACUACGGGGGCUAGCGUUGUUCGGAAUUACUGGGCGUAAAGCUAACGUAAGUUACUUGUUCAAGUCAGAGGUGAAAGCCUGGAUCUCAACUCCACAACUGCCUUUGAAACUAAAUAUGUAGAAUUCAUGGAGAGGUGGGUGGAAUUCCAAGUGUAAAAGGGAAAUUCAAUUAUAUUCGGAAGAACACCAUGGGCAAAGGCGUCUAACUGCACCUGUAUUGACGGUAAGGUCCUAAAGCGUGAGGAGCAAACAGGAUUAAAUACCCGGGUAGUCCACGCGAUAAACGAUGAUGGCUAUCUGUCCGGGCUCUAAUGUCUACUAGUGACGCAGCUAACGCAUUAAGUUAUCCGCCUGGGGAGUACGGUCGCAAGCAUUAAAACUCAAAGGAAAUUGACGGAUUAAAACUCAAAGGA
rnacentral:rRNA from 1 species